rnacentral:rRNA from 1 species
AUUGAACGCUGGCGGCAUGCUUUACACAUGCAAGUCGAACGGCAGCGCGGGCUUCGUCCUGGCGUCGAGUGGCGAACGGGUGAGUAAUACAUCGGAACGUGCCCAGUCGUGGGGGAUAGCUCGGCGAAAGCCGGAUUAAUACCGCAUACGACCUGAUGGUGAAAGCGGGGGAUCUUCGGACCUCGCGCUAUUUGAGCGGCCGAUGGCAGAGUAGCUAGUUGGUUUGGUAAGGGCCUACCAAGGCGACGAUCUGUAGCUGGUCUGAGAGGACGACCAGCCACACUGGGACUGAGACACGGCCCAGACUCCUACGGGAGGCAGCAGUGGGGAAUUUUGGACAAUGGGCGAAAGCCUGACCCAGCAAUGCCGCGUGUGUGAUGAAGGCCUUCGGGUUGUAAAGCACUUUUGGCGGGAACGAAAAGGAAUGUGCCAAUACCACGGUUCGAUGACGGUACCCGAAGAAUAAGCACCGGCUAACUACGUG